CUGUUCUCUUUCAGGUCGGGCCGGGCCCGGCCGCUUCCGCGAGCGCCCGGCAGACUGAGGGAGAGAGAAAGAGGAGGGGAGGAGGAGGAGGAUUCAGGGAAUAGGAGCUGGGGAGCCCUUCUGCGCCACAGUGAUAUCAGUAUCAAGAUAAAAGUUUGGAAUGGGAGAAAAAUUCUCAAAGCCUGAAAGAAAAUCUGAGAUGCUUGGAGUGUAAAGAUCCCAUGGUCACAUAAAUCCGGAAAGCACUGAAUACUUUGUUUCCCAUAAGAGAAUCCCAUUAUAUGUUGAUGUAUUAAAAGACCUGAGAACCUGGUGUAGUUACUUUUGGUGACACUAUCCAGUUCCCACAAUGUAUCAUUCCUUAACUGAAACUAGACAUCCUCUGCAGCCAGAAGAACAAGAAGUAGGCAUUGACCCCUUGUCCAGUUACUCUAACAAGUCUGGAGGAGAUUCAAAUAAAAAUGGAAGAAGAACAAGUUCUACUUUAGACUCUGAAGGGACUUUUAAUUCCUAUAGGAAAGAAUGGGAAGAACUAUUUGUAAACAACAAUUACUUGGCAACAAUAAGGCAGAAGGGGAUUAAUGGGCAGCUGAGAAGCAGCAGGUUCCGCAGCAUUUGCUGGAAGCUAUUUCUUUGUGUUCUUCCUCAAGACAAAAGUCAAUGGAUAAGUAGAAUUG
rnacentral:sRNA from 1 species